rnacentral:rRNA from 1 species
AUUGAACGCUGGAGGCAGGCCUAACACAUGCAAGUCGAACGAGUGGCGGACGGGUGAGUAAUGACUGGGAAACUGCCCGAUGGAGGGGGAUAACUACUGGAAACGGUAGCUAAUACCGCAUACCAUCGGAUGUGCCCAGAUGGGAUUAGCUAGUAGGUGGGGUAACGGCUCACCUAGGCUACGAACCCUAGCUGGUCUGAGAGGAUGACCAGCCACACUGGAACUGAGACACGGUCCAGACUCCUACAGGAGGCAGCAGUGGGGAAUAUUGCACAAUGGGCUCAAGCCGGAUGCAGCCAUGCCGCUUGUAUGAAGAAGGCCUUCGGGUUGUAAAGUACUUUCAGCGAGGAGGCAUUACUCGCAGAAGAAGCACCGGCUAACUCCGUGCCAGCAGCCGCGGUAAUUC